rnacentral:rRNA from 1 species
ACGAACGCUGGCGGCGUGCUUAACACAUGCAAGUCGAACGGAAAGGCCCAGCUUGCUGGGUACUCGAGUGGCGAACGGGUGAGUAACACGUGGGUGAUCUGCCCUGGACUCUGGGAUAAGCCUGGGAAACUGGGUCUAAUACCGGAUAUGACCUUACAUCGCAUGGUGUUUGGUGGAAAGCUUUUGCGGUUCAGGAUGGGCCCGCGGCCUAUCAGCUUGUUGGUGGGGUAAUGGCCUACCAAGGCGACGACGGGUAGCCGACCUGAGAGGGUGAUCGGCCACACUGGGACUGAGACACGGCCCAGACUCCUACGGGAGGCAGCAGUGGGGAAUAUUGCACAAUGGGCGCAAGCCUGAUGCAGCGACGCCGCGUGAGGGAUGACGGCCUUCGGGUUGUAAACCUCUUUCACCAGGGACGAAGCGUGAGUGACGGUACCUGGAGAAGAAGCACCGGCCAACUACGUG